rnacentral:misc_RNA from 1 species
GAUGAAGAACGCAGCGAAAUGCGAUAAGUAAUGUGAAUUGCAGAAUUCAGUGAAUCAUCGAAUCUUUGAACGCACCUUGCGCCCUUUGGCUAUUCCGAAGGGCAUGCCUGUUUGAGUAUCGUGUACACCUCAACUCUCAUGGUUUGCCAUGAUGAGCUUGGACUUUGGGGGUUUUGCUGGCCUUUGGUCGGCUCCUCUCAAACGGAUCAGCUUUCCAGUGUUUGGUGGCGUCACGGGUGUGAUAACUAUCUACGCCUGUGGUUUUCUGCCAGAUAACCUUCAGCGAUGGAGGUUCGCUGGGGCUCAUAAAUGUCUCUCUUCAGUGGAGACAGCUUUUUGGACGUUUGAUCUCAAAUCAGGUAGGACUACCCGCUGAACUUAAGCAUAUCAAUAAGCGGAGGA